rnacentral:lncRNA from 1 species
CUGCUCCUAUCAGUGACAAAUCAGCGUAUUAGAACAUGCAUGCUGACUGAUCAUUCUGAUCAAGUCAACAAGCUUCACAACUUACUCAAUGAGGUCGUCCGUGAGAACUUCACUGUUUUACGAGGACAGGAGCUACUUCUUUGCUGAACUGCAUCACGGUUUCAACUGCUGAGGUUUUCUUCAAGCUUUUGCAUUGUUUGGAAUGUGAAAGGCACGGCCGAGACACACUUUGAGGUUCCCACUGCAUUGUUACACCUCCCCCCUCACUUCAGGGCCAGGUAACACCAAGAAGGACGCCAUGAGAGCGAAGGCCGUUGGGUAACCGCCUUUUGCUCUCGCGCUGCGCGUCUCCCUGCCAUGAACUGCUGCAACCGGCGCUGGGAGCGGUUGAGGGCGGCAGCCGGCCUCGCGCUGGAAGCGGUUGAGGGCGGCGGCCGGCCUCGCGCUGGAACCUCGCCCACCUCAAGGCUCCUGCGGCGGCGCACGGGGCAGGCCAGGAGCCUGCCCUAGGAGGGCCCCGCUGGAGAUGUGGAAAUGGAGGGACGCGGCACCUGGGCGCUUCCUGGGGCCAGACAACGCCCCCCUCAUUGGAACCUCCAUGACCGUGCCUCUGAGAAACCAGCGCGUCCGCAACGAUCACUCCUAAUUUUCGGAUUCCUAUCGUCUGUCUCCACAUGAUAACACUGAAGAGCCUUCACGUUGAUGCAGGCCCAGGGCCUCAAGUGCAGAGACUGAGAGCUCUGCAGGACACAGCAUGGAGCCGCCAUUCCUCUACUGGGUGGAAGAGCCUGUGUCCUCUGAACAGGGGAUCCAAGCCCUGAGGUGUUCUUUCUCAGCUGUCAGUGUGGCCCAGGACUUUCUGUGGGGAUGCUCAGACAGCAGGGGCCGGAGGACUUUUAGCCACCACCGCCCAUGGCCAGUCUUCACAAAUUACCUUUGGCUAAUUUGACUGUCUCUCCUCCUGGGGUCUAGGACUUCAAACAUGUACAGAAGCGAUUGCAGAAUUAAGACAAGACACUUCCACAAUAUAUUUUUUGUAUCACUGGCUCAGAAAAAGACUCAUUCAAAUCCUGUAUCAAAGCCACGUGUGAGAAUCUUGAGAAAGCAUCAGCUGACUGACUUGACAAGGGAGGAAGCAACCAAAAAUUCUGCGCUUCUUCAGUAUCCGAGUAUGAUAUUUUGCUUCAACAUCCCUCUUAGAUGAAGUUAUUGAUUGAAAAUCAUUUAAGUUUGCCCCAUGGUAAAAGAUCAACUCCUCAGAAAGAUCUCCAAAGCGUUUACGGUUUGUUUUGUUUUGGUAAGUUUACCAUGAUUUUGCUUAAACUGCUCUCCGUUGAUCUUCUCAGCUAAGAUGGAGGUAGAGUUGCACAGUGGAAGAGGGCUGCAUGUAAGAAGGCAGUUCUGUCUCAGAGGACAAAAGGCCUGGGAGCACCCAGACAGUCACUGCAUGGAGGUCACUCCCCUCCCAGUGGCCACUGUGGAGACAUUUCACAGAAAUGCUUGCUGGACCAUUCAGGUUCAGAGUUGGGACAAAACCGAGAACUCAUGGGGAUAUUGGACAGCAGUUAGGAAAUGACCUUCUCACACAACUGGGGCAGUGGGGGAGAACCCUGGGCUUGAGACUUGCAAUCCACCAGUUGCCCCUGCCCCUGCCCCUGCAGUGUGGCCGCUGUUACAUUUUCCUGCAACUCUGCCUUCUUGAGUCCAAAUGUCUUCGAAAGGGGCAGAUGCUUCGUAAGUGCCGACAGGGUGUGUUUCAGUGAAUGUUUGCAGUGUGCACCGGUCUGGCUGAAGGCCUCUUCCCUUCCCCAACACCCUCCCAUCGUGCAAAAUUACCCUGCCCAGCAGGGAGUGACUUGUGUGUCUCAGAAGAUUUUGUUGCUGUGCUCUGAGUUCUCACUCCUCAUCUCCUUUGACCAGUUUAUUCUAAUACUCCCCUUGUUCACAACACAGAACAUGAGUGCUCUUUCCUGUCAUUUUGACACUAAUAAACAGUGAUUCUCAGUGUGGAAAUGAGAAUGAAGUUUUUUUUAAAGACAGGCUACAAUAAUUCCCAUGCAGAGAACCACAUGCGAUGACACUGGAUUCCAAACAGCAAGAACGUAUGGUGAAGAUGAGGCCAACAGUGAGCUGAGAGAGGCCAGCCAGGGUGUGUUUCAGUGAAGAUGAGAAACAAUCAGAUAACACCUGUUUCCUCCAGGAAAGAAAAUGUGGCCAGGGAAAAGAGAUGGGAGGAAGGCUGGUCAUUGCCUCUUCCACUGUGCACAGUUUGAAUUUGGAGCCAAGAAAAGUAUUGCUUGGUUAAAUUAAAAUCAUUCAAAAGAUAAAACAUAAACAUUUAACACCAGCACAAUAUGCUGGGAAACAAAAUGAAAGGCUUUCUGGUCUCGGUGCUGUAGGUCACAUAGCCACUCUUUCCUGGAUUGAGGCUUUCCAGCAAAGGGGCUGGGACGUAAGGCUGGCCUGCUGGUGUGGACAGAGAUUCCAGCAACAUGCAUGACCUGGGGGUAC